rnacentral:rRNA from 1 species
AUUGAACGCUGGCGGCAGGCCUAACACAUGCAAGUCGAACGAGUGGCGGACGGGUGAGUAAUGUCUGGGAAACUGCCUGAUGGAGGGGGAUAACUACUGGAAACGGUAGCUAAUACCGCAUACCAUCGGAUGUGCCCAGAUGGGAUUAGCUAGUAGGUGGGGUAACGGCUCACCUAGGCGACGAUCCCUAGCUGGUCUGAGAGGAUGACCAGCCAAACUGGAACUGGGACACGGCCCAGACUCCUACGGGAGGAAGCAUUGGGGAAUAUUGCACAAUGGGCGAAAGCCGGAUGAAGCCAUGCCGCGUGUGUGAAGAAGGCCUUCGGGUUGUAAAGUACUGUCAGCGGGGAGGCGUUACCCGAAGAAGAAGCACCGGCUAACUCCGUGCCAGCAGCCGCGGUAAUAC